AAAUAAGCAUCUCAUAUGUAAAUAACUUCUGUACAAACAAUGUAAAACCAAUAAAAUAUUACUGAGUAUAAAAACAUGAAAUAUCUAAUAUAGAUUCAAAUGCAAACCUCAUCUAAUAUGAUCACUAUUACAAUAUAACACAACUGCCAUCCAUUAUAUUAAUUGAAUUUUUAUGUAGAGUAUCUAAUAUAUAUGUAAAUAUGGCUUUGGAUUUGAAAUUUUAGCUAAAAUCUGUGUUAAGAAAAACAAAAAUAAGCUCAUACUUCCUACCAAAUCCUUUAGAUAGUGCAUUUAAAUAGGCCUUCUUGUCCAGUAUUUCAAAUUUAAACUCCUCCUAAA
rnacentral:misc_RNA from 1 species